rnacentral:lncRNA from 1 species
CUGACUAUCCAGAUGGAUGACAUCCAUCAUGUCAGGACAUGAUGAUCAAACCAUGUAAUGGGGACAUCCUCUUUCUCCAGGUCACAGGAGACUUCAUAAGGAAAUGAAGAACAAAGAAACAGUUAGAACUGUGUAUUUCUAGGCUAGGUCUGAUGAAGAGUCAGCAGCCAUGGAGGACUGUAAUCCGUUAAGGAUUAUGAGCAAGUCUGGAAAACUAAUAAACUGUGGCGGG